GAUGAACGAUGGCGGCGUGCCUAAUACAUGUAAGUCGAGCGAACAGAUGAGAAGCUUGCUUCUCUGAUGUUAGCGGCGGACGGGUGAGUAACACGUGGGUAACCUACCUAUAAGACUGGGAUAACUCCGGGAAACCGGGGCUAAUACCGGAUAAUAUUUUGAACCGCAUGGUUCAAUAGUGAAAGACGGUUUCGGCUGUCACUUAUAGAUGGACCCGCGCCGUAUUAGCUAGUUGGUAAGGUAACGGCUUACCAAGGCGACGAUACGUAGCCGACCUGAGAGGGUGAUCGGCCACACUGGAACGGAGACACGGUCCAGACUCCUACGGGAGGCAGCAGUAGGGAAUCUUCCGCAAUGGGCGAAAGCCUGACGGAGCAACGCCGCGUGAGUGAUGAAGGUCUUCGGAUCGUAAAACUCUGUUGUUAGGGAAGAACAAAUUUGUUAGUAACUGAACAAGUCUUGACGGUACCUAACCAGAAAGCCACGGCUAACUACGUGCCAGCCGCCGCUGUAA
rnacentral:rRNA from 1 species